GCUCCUGCAAAGGGGCCCAGAAUGGCGGGGAAGCGUUUCCUGUGGGACAAGACAGGCGUGAGCUCCUGCAAAGGGGCCCAGAAUGGCGGGGAAGCGUUUCCCGUGGGACAAGACAGGCGUGAGCUCCUGCAAUGGGGCCCAGAAUGGCGGGGGAGCGUUUCCCGUGGGACAAGACAGGCGUGAGCUCCUGCAAAGGGGCCCAGAAUCGUGGGGAAGCGUUUCCUGUGGGACAAGACAGGCGUGAGCUCCUGCAAAGGGGCCCAGAAUGGUGGGGAAGCAGAACUUCUGCCUCCAACUCACUUUCUCACCGUGCAACUGCGGAUCCAGAGGAAUCUCUGCAUGUGAGGCUCUGCCAGGUCUGCCUGGAUGAUCAAAACAGAUGGGAAGGAGCCAUGGUGGGGCAAUGAUCCUGUUCUGUUGCCUCCUGGAGAUUCAAGCAUUAUAUAUGGAGAGCUAUCAUCUCUACCCCUCCUCCCGGUUUACUCUCAUGGUGAGCUCAGGUUAUUGGGGAACAAGUGGUACUCAAGAUGGAUGAAGGACUUAAAUCCAAGACAAGAAACUAUAAAAAUUCUAAAAGACAACAUUGGAAAAACUCUUCUAGACAUUGGCUUAGGCAAGGAUUUCACGAACAAGAACCCAUAAGCAAACGCAAUAAGAACAAAAAUAAAUAGCUGGGACCUAAUCAAACUAAAGAGCUUUUGCACAGCAAAAGGAACAGUCAGCAGAGUAAACAGACAACACACAGAGUGGGAGAAAAUCUUCACAAUCUAUACAUCUGACAAAGGACUGAUAUCCAGAAUCUACAAUGGACUCAAACAAAUUAGCAAGAAACAAAUAAUCCCAUCAAAAAGUGGGCUAAGGACAUGAAUAGACUUUUAGGUUACUUUUAGGUAUUUGUGUGUGCAGACCUCUUGGUGUCAAGGCUAAACUGUUCCUUUCUCUGACACAUGGGAAAUUGAUGCACAAUACCUUGCAGUGUAUAAUUCCAGGCCCCUAGGCACUGGAGACUGGGUUAUCUUUUCACUCAACUGACAGUUGAUACAUUGUUUGCACUGAAAAAUCUGGCUUUGUUGAACCACACCAGUUUAUGUUUUUAAUUCCAAAUCUUACCUUGUUAUGAACUAUUUUUUUGUCCUUUCCUCUAGAGAAAUGCUAAUGCUGCUUGCUUACAUGGAAAGUAAAGUUAAGGAGUUGGUGUUGACAUUUUGGCUUGCUGUCACAGGCAAAAAAGAAUAGUGCUGUUUUUGUGUGUUUAAUUUUCUUUCACUUUCCCCACUCUGUGUAUUGGAGGAUGCCUUUAGCAAUAAGUAGUCCUUAUCCAGGUCACUCACUCAUUAACCGCCAACCACUGACAGUAAUGUCUUUACUAGAUAUUUUGCUUCUUUUGAUUAAUUUGUCUCUAUUUCCUUUGUUCUAAAGCCUAUAGUGAGUAAUCAUAUUUGGAGUAAUAGCAGAGCUCCCUGCUGUGUUUUCAUUUGCUUAAAUCAAGACUUAGCUGCUGUAUUGAGGAACCAAGACUGAGAUGUGGGGCUAGGAGGGCCUAGGGUCUGUCAGGCACUCUUCAGUGACUUGAGGUGCUGAAUGACUCACACUGUACUGGGAGAUGACCACCUGUGUGCAUCCAACACAGUCACAGAUAGUGCCAUUGAGCCACCAGGAGCAGCCACAGACCAUCAGUGGUUGUGCUUUGGAAUACGCAAUUUUGUGUUUCUGGUGAGCUGUAAUCUUUUCUUUUCCCAUAGAAUUAUUUUUCAUUGAAUUAUGCUAUUAAAACUCAUCUUUGGGUUUCUUGUAACGUCAUUGCCGAGAACGUUAUUUUUGCAUUUCACAGUGAUUUCUUGAGGAGGAAGUAAGAAGUAAUUGUUUUCUGGACUCACUGUCUGAAAAACUUGCACUUUACUGAAGCGAUUGUUUUGUUUACACUAAGUAACAAUAUGAGUUUUGUUAGCUUUUUGGAUGGACUACAAAGCAUAAAACCAACUUUGUUCCUCAUCUCUGGCAAAGAUGGAGGGUUGUUGGCUUGUGUUGUGUGAUGAGUCUUAUACCUGGCUCUGUCUGCUCUUGCCUUUUGCCUUACAUUUCAAAGACCUCACUUUUUUCUUUUCUUUUUUUAAAAAAUAUUUUAUCACAUGAUUUUCUAUACAUUUUAAUAAAAUUUCUUUUUUGUAAAAAAAGCAAAGCAUAAAUAAAAUAGGGUAGCCAUUUCUUCUAAGGUUAUGUUGAAUCUAACCCAAACUCUUAUCAGAGAAAACUCUGCUUUAGAUGUAGCCUAAAGCAGGAAGCAACAAACCUGUAUACAGCCAAAGUAUCAUCUCAAGGGCCUGCAUUCAAAUCUCACACAUGUGGCUUGAAAGUGAUCUCUUUUGCCCUUAUUUCAAGGCCUAAUCUUAGGUUACAUAGUACUUAAAGAAGCUUCAGUAUGCAAUUUCAAAGCCUGUAGUAGAUGUAAAAUGAGAAAAUUAGAAAUAAGGAGAAAAGCUGCUACAUGAGGACACUGACAGCAAGGAAAGGGAGAGAAAAACUCACAAAGUAAGUGGAAAAAUAGACCAAUGCAAAUAACCCCACAUAGUUUAACAGACCUCAUCAUAUCUAUUGUGUACAUGUUUGUAUGACAUAGAUUAUAUCUAUUAUAUGUAAUCCAGUGUUCAUAGUGUUGACUUAGAAAUUAUCAACCAAAUUCAAAGCUUUUAGGCUUUGAAAAUUGUUUGAAAAGAUUUUCACCCAAAAUAUUUAAAUUAUUAAAAAAAAUUAUUGUUGAUUAAAGUUGUAAUCCUCAAUUAAUUAGAAGUUUUGGCUAUCCAGAGACCUUAUAUUCCAAAGACUUUAGAGAGUUGUUUGUUAGAUCACAUAAAUUAUUACCAAUAUCCUACAUUUAAGCUUCUAAUUUACGUAAAUUGUGAGCAAAAUUGAGAGCCACACAAAUAUUCAAUCUCUGAAGCUCUUAUGGCAGCAUUGAUCAAAUAGGUUAGAGAACACAUGGAUACAGCUUUAUUGCCUUCUAGUUUUACUGCAAACGUGUUAUUUAAUAGUAUGCAAAUGAUUGGCUAGAUGUACAGACUGCCAGGGCCUUCAUAGCAAACAGGUUUUGUGUUUACCCUAGCAUACAAAAAUGCUUCAUCUACGAUGUAUGCUGUAACUGUGUGUAUUGUCUACCCUAGCAUGCAAAAAUGCUUCAUCUAAAAUGUAUGCUAUAACUAUGUGUAUUAUAUUAUCUAUAAUUAUAUUUCUCCUUGGUUUAAUAUUAGAUAUUUUCAGGUACAAGAAAUGUAUGCACAUUAUAGAUUCAAUGCAUGUAGGUUAUAUGUGUAAAUAUUUAUUGAUAAGAGGCAUUAAACCCCUGCCUUCUAUGCUGGAUAAACUCCUGAACUUAGCCUCCAAAACACCACAGUAGCCUCCCUGGUAAGCACAGGGCUCUUUCUCUACCCUUUUGUGUCUCCCACGCUCCCACUUGUCUACAAGAGCUGAGUGUAGACCAAGAGCAAUAAAGUUCAUUUCCCCAAAAUAAGGCGUAGCAUUCAGGUUUUGUGAUACCUGAUUGGUUUACAUUGUUUACAGGUGGGGCCUCGAAGGGGUAAAAAUCAGAAGCUUCUUAUUCUGAGCGCAAGGGCAAGAUCAUUGAGCAGACAUUGACCUCCCUUCAGACAUUUCUUGGGAGGAACAGAAUGAGAAUUUCAGGGGCCAGUGCCUGCACCCUACUAGCUGUGGCAGCCUGGUGCUCAUCUACUUCUCCAGCUUGGGAAGGCCUAGGUUAACCCCAGUCUUUGGAGGCAUUGUUAUUCCUCUUCUCUCCCUGCUUCCCCGUGUUUGUGUUCUGGGCCCGGUGUAACACUGAGGUUCAGAAUUGCUUUCAAGAGAGGAGCCCAUUUCUGUGUCUAUGCAAGGCUGGACAAUUUCUCCAAGUGGUUCAGCCUGUGGGGGUUAACGGGGCAAAAGCAUCUCAGCUAGUAAUAAACACUGCUUCGCCUCUUGCUUUUUUAUUUUUAUUUUUGCAAAACUUCUCUGUAGGUGUGUAUUUCUCUAGAGGAUUUCAAAAAUUCUCUGUAGGUGCGUAUUUCUGUAGAGGAAGGAGUGGUGACUGGGCCAGGGUGAAUGGAUUAUUUGAUCUAUAUUAUCUUGAAUUUUAUAUCUUUUAUUUUAAAAUUUGGGUGUUUUUUGAAGUAGGAAAUCAAUGCACAUGGCUGAAUAUCUAAAAAGUGUAAAAGUAUACAUUGAAAAGUCUUCCUCCUAAUCUCGUGAUUGUCUUCGUUUCAGUCCCCAUGGCCACAUCAUGAGGCUACUGAUGUCAUUAGUUUCUUUUGCGUUCUUCUAGGGUUUCUGUUGGCAUAUGCAAGCAACAAUAAAUGUAUACCUUUAUGUUUUCUCUUUUUACAGCAAGGACAGUUUAUUAAACACACUGUUUUAAACCUUAUUUUUUCUCUAAAUAAUAUUUCAUAUAAGUCAGUAUGUAGACUUUAUGUAUUUUUAAAAUGAAGACAUAGCGUUCCACUGAACUUAGACAAUAAUUUACUUAACUAGUCCAAGAUUGAAGAAUAAAAUUAUUUUGAAUCUUUUGUUAAUAGUUAAUAGCUUUGAUGAGUACACUUAUGCAUACAUUAUUUUACACAUGUUCAAGUAUGUUGUAUAAACCCCAAAGUGGGAAUGCUCUGUCAAAUAUUACAGGUAUUUGCAACUUUGAUAGAUACUAAUUGCCCUCGAUAGAGGUAGUAAAAGCUUACACUCCACAGCCUUACUGAUGAUAUAUAUUAUAAAACUUUUAGUUCUUGCCAAUCUAAACGUGAAAAAUGGUAUUUCAUGGUAAUUUAAAUGCUUUUCUCGUUUUAUAACUGAGGUUGACAUCUAUCAAAAAAUUAUUUGAAUUUUUCUGAGAACUAUUAAUCUUUGAAUCCUUUUCUGUUGUUUAUCUUUUCCUUCUUCAUUUCUAAAAGUUCCUAUACAGAGAGAUUCACCCGUUAUCUGUGAUAUGAUUACAAAUGUCUGCCCUCCAAUUUGUUAUAUGUCUUUAGAUCCAAAUACCUUAUUUUUUGCCAUGUAGAAAUUUUUAAUUUGUAUGUGAUAAAAUGUUAAUACUUUAUGGAUUCUGGAUUUUCAGAAAUAAAAAGGUCAUCCUCACUUCCAGGUUUUAAAGAAAUUCUUUAAUGUUAUUUUAUGUUUUUGUAUGG
rnacentral:lncRNA from 1 species